GGAGAGGUCGCAUAGUUGGUCUAGUGCGCUCGCUUGGAAAGCGAGUAUACCGAGAGGUAUCAAGGGUUCGAAUCCCUUCCUCUCCG
rnacentral:tRNA from 1 species